AAAAAGUGGUCAUGUCCUCACUUUCAUUCCAAGAUGGAAGCCCUGGAGAGUGUCGGCCACUACAAUUCUUUAUUGGAAAACACUGCCCCACCGCAUCUUGCAGUUUCUGUUUAAGGGAUCGGCCUAAAAAUCUAUGCCCACAGGAAUGAUCUAAGUCCAACUCAAUGGACGAACAGCUAAGCUGCCUUUCUUGGCUUCUUAGAGGAAUUUCAACAUUCUCAACAGUACCUAUGGCUUCAGAUUCAGAACAACUCUCACUCUUUUUGGACCAAGACAACUUCUUUCCACUCCACACAUAACCAUCCUUCCUGUCAGCACUUCGACUCCGACUUGUUUUAGGCCGUACAUCUACAUUUUUACUAUUGUUUUCAGCCAUUUUAAACAAAUUCUUUACAAUUUCCAGUGUUAUAAAUAUUGUGUUUUCAGCUUUUCUAAGAGGAAGUUUCUUCUGGGCACUUUCUGGACGGAUCUAAGAAAAAGAAAAAAGGAAGUCAUUAGCAACCUGCUCACCUAUGCUAGAUUGUACAUUAAGCCUUACCUGGACACAAGAUGAAAAGCCUAAUUGGUACAUGCAAGAGUAUUGGCCACGCUGUAAGGCAGCCCCAGGUGUCUUGUUCCCACUUUAAUGUACUGCUUUAGCGUAUUGGGACAAUACUGGCUAGUACCAUGGAGGCAGGAUAAUGGAUUUCUUUGUCAUAGCUAAUUCUCAGUAUGUGUCCUCUCUUAAUACAAGCUUGGAUAAAGCUAAUUCCUAACUUUGCAGUAUACCUUAUGCCUAUUUCUCCUUCCCUUAUUUUUCUCUUAUUGGUUUCCUGAGACAGCAUCUUGCAAUGUAGCCUUGGCCAACCUGGAAAUCUCUGCGGCUCAGGCUGGCCUUAAACUUGCAACAUUUCUCUUGACCCCAACUCUGUGCUAUAAUUGCAGGCAAAUGUCAUUUUCUCCAACUUUCACUUUAUUUUUC
rnacentral:lncRNA from 1 species